rnacentral:rRNA from 1 species
GGGCUUGACAUCCCACGAACCUGCCCGAAAGGGUCGGGUGCCCGCAAGGGAGCGUGGAGACAGGUGGUGCAUGGCUGUCGUCAGCUCGUGUCGUGAGAUGUUGGGUUAAGUCCCGCAACGAGCGCAACCCUCACCCCUUGUUGCCACCGGGUCAUGCCGAGCACUCUAGGGGAACUGCCAGCGUCAAGCUGGAGGAAGGCGGGGAUGACGUCAAGUCAUCAUGCCCCUUACGCCCUGGGCAACACACGUGCUACAAUGGCUGGUACAAAGGGACGCAAGACCGCGAGGUGGAGCUAAUCCCAAAAAACCAGUCUAAGUUCAGAUUGCAGUCUGCAACUCGACUGCAUGAAGGAGGAAUCGCUAGUAAUCGCGCAUCAGCACGGCGCGGUGAAUACGUUCCCGGGCCUUGUACACACCGCCCGUCACACCACGAAAGCCAGCUGUACUCGAAGUCGCUGAG